rnacentral:rRNA from 1 species
UACGGAGGAUGCGAGCGUUAUCCGGAUUUAUUGGGUUUAAAGGGUGCGCAGGCUGUUUGUUAAGUCAGAGGUGAAAUCCCGGGGCUCAACUCCGGAACUGCCUUAGAUACUGGCAAACUUGAGUGUAAUUGAAGUGGGCGGAAUAUGUCAUGUAGCGGUGAAAUGCAUAGAUAUGACUCAGAACACCGAUUGCGAAGGCAGCUUACUAACAUGUAACUGACGCUGAGGGACGAAAGCGUGGGGAGCGAACAGG